CCGACCCCAGGCGCCCGCGUCCCGUGCUCCUCGGUCCCCACCCGCGUUGCGCCCCGACGCCCGCGCGACUUCCGGGAAACCAGCCGUGUCUCUGCGUCCCGCGGACCCAAAGCAACAUUCUGCCUUGCCUGCAUUAGUUUCCAUGGUAAUUUCGCGUACUGCACAUCUGUACAUGCACCUUUACCCUGAUUGAUGAAUAAUAAAAUUCGGUGGAAGAGACGGGACGGUGACUUUUGCCGAAGGAGCAUUGACCGUCGCAGUUCACACUUUCUCUUUAACGCUGUCUUAAGUGUCACGCAAUGGGCAGGUGCGGACUAGAGACUUACUGCAGGAGUCUCUGGGAUUGGCGCCCAACGGUGGGGGCUUGACCCACAAGCAACCACCUGCUCAGUGAAGCUACUCAGAAUAAAAAAGAAUAAAAGGAAAUCAGCGACCAAGGGGCAAGAGUCAUCAAAGGACGUACACAGGAGCAUAAACUCGAAAAAGAGAAAGAGCUGGAGCCCUAAGAAGUCUUCACGUUCCUCUACUUCCCGCCCGGACCUUUUGGUUUUGCAAAACUUUGCUUAUGUGGGUGCUGCUUGGGAUGUACUUCCUAAUAAAGGAACUGGGCAGUCUGUUCAUCCCCAGUGUAGGUCUGGAUCUUUCUGAUUGCAUCCAUUUGUAGUUGUCUUUCUGUGAUUUCUAGCAGAGGACGCUUGCAGCUAGAAUGAAUACAGCAUCUGUUCUCUUAUACUUCGUGUGUAUCCAGGCACUGAAUAAAUAAGAACUAUGGACUCUUAAGUAGCCUUGUUCGUGGACAUGUUUGUACAGAAAGAAAUGAUAACAUGCAGAAUUUUU
ensembl:lncRNA